GACGAACGCUGGCGGCGUGCCUAAUGCAUGCAAGUCGCACGCGGCACCUUCGGGUGCUGAGUGGCGAACGGCUGAGGAACACGUGGGGACCUGUCCGGGAGUGGGGGACAACACCGCGAAAGCGGUGCUAAUCCCGCAUACGCUCUGAGGAGGAAAGCCGAAAGGCGCUCCCGGGUGGCCCUGCGGCCCAUCAGGUUGUUGGUGGGGUAACGGCCUACCAAGCCAAUGACGGGUCGCUGGUCUGUGAGGACGACCAGCCAGACUGGGACUGGGACACGGCCCAGACUCCUACGGGAGGCAGCAGCAAGGAAUUUUCGGCAAUGGGCGCAAGCCUGACCGAGCAACGCCGCGUGCAGGAAGACGGCCUUCGGGUUGUAAACUGCUUUUGCUAGGGAUGAUAGCAGACAGUACCUGGCGAAUCAGCCCCGGCUAACUCUGUG
rnacentral:rRNA from 1 species